UAUCCGGGGGCGGAGCCGACGCGGCCGGCGGGGCGGACGGGCGCGGGCCGCGCGUGGCGGCGGCGAUGGGCGAGGGCGGGCUACCCCCGGCCUUCCAGCUGCUGCUGCGCGCGUGUGACCAGGGCGACACGGAGACGGCGCGGCGGCUGCUGGAGCCGGGGGCGGCGGAGCCAGCCGAGCGCGGCGCGGAGCCGGAGGCGGGCGCGGAGCCGGCAGGGGCCGAGGUGGCUGGGCCCGGGGCCGCAGCGGCAGGGGCAGUCGGGGCUCCGGUGCCCGUGGACUGCUCGGACGAGGCGGGCAACACCGCACUGCAGUUCGCCGCGGCCGGGGGCCACGAACCGCUGGUGCGCUUCCUGCUGCGCCGCGGUGCCUCGGUCAACAGCCGCAACCACUACGGCUGGAGCGCGCUCAUGCAGGCGGCCAGAUUUGGGCAUGUGAGUGUGGCACACCUCCUGUUGGAUCACGGGGCUGAUGUCAAUGCCCAGAACCGGCUGGGGGCCAGUGUGCUCACUGUGGCUUCUCGGGGCGGCCACCUGGGUGUGGUGAAGCUGCUCCUGGAAGCCGGUGCCUUUGUGGACCAUCACCACCCUUCAGGCGAGCAACUAGGGUUGGGCGGCAGCAGGGAUGAGCCCUUGGACAUCACAGCCCUGAUGGCUGCCAUCCAGCACGGGCACGAGGCCGUGGUGCGUCUACUGAUGGAGUGGGGCGCGGACCCCAACCACGCAGCCCGGACCGUGGGCUGGAGCCCGCUGAUGCUGGCCGCACUCACUGGGCGGCUUGGAGUGGCCCAGCAGCUGGUGGAGAAGGGCGCCAACCCUGACCACCUCAGCGUGCUGGAGAAGACCGCCUUCGAGGUUGCACUGGACUGCAAGCACAGGGACCUUGUAGACUACCUGGACCCGCUGACCACCGUCAGGCCCAAAACAGAUGAGGAGAAAAGGCGACCUGAUAUUUUCCAUGCAUUGAAAAUGGGAAACUUCCAGCUGGUCAAAGAGAUUGCCGAUGAAGACCCCAGCCACGUGAACUUGGUCAAUGGGGACGGGGCGACGCCACUGAUGCUAGCAGCUGUUACGGGGCAGCUGGCUCUGGUGCAGCUGCUGGUGGAGAGGCAUGCGGAUGUUGACAAGCAGGACAGCGUGCAUGGCUGGACGGCCCUCAUGCAGGCAACCUACCAUGGGAAUAAGGAAAUUGUGAAAUAUCUGCUAAACCAAGGGGCCGAUGUCACUCUUCGUGCAAAAAAUGGAUACACGGCCUUUGACCUGGUGAUGCUGCUGAAUGAUCCCGACACGGAACUUGUUCGACUGCUGGCAUCUGUCUGCAUGCAGGUGAAUAAAGACAAAGGCCGGCCGAGCCACCAGCCUCCCCUGCCCCACUCGAAGGUCCGACAGCCCUGGAGCAUCCCAGUGCUGCCCGAUGACAAGGGUGGACUGAAGUCCUGGUGGAACCGAAUGUCCAAUCGGUUCCGAAAGCUCAAACUGAUGCAGACGCUGCCCCGUGGGCUGUCCAGCAACCAGCCUUUGCCUUUCUCUGACGAGCCUGAGCCAGCUCUGGACUCCACAAUGAGGGCUGCCCCCCAGGACAAGACAAGCCGCUCUGCACUCCCUGUUGCGGCCCCUGUGACCAAAGACAAUGGUCCUGGGAGCACAAGAGGAGAAAAGGAAGACACGUUAUUGACAACCAUGCUUCGAAACGGAGCUCCCCUCACCAGACUCCCGAGUGACAAGCUGAAAGCAGUCAUCCCCCCAUUCCUACCCCCUUCCAGUUUUGAGCUGUGGAGCUCUGAUCGGUCCCGGACGCGUCACAACGGGAAGGCAGACCCCAUGAAGACUGCGCUGCCCCAGAGAGCCAGCAGGGGCCACCCCGUGGGUGGUGGGGGCACAGACACUACACCCGUCAGGCCUGUUAAAUUUCCAAGCCUCCCCAGAAGCCCAGCCUCUUCUGCCAAUUCUGGAAACUUCAACCACUCGCCUCAUUCAUCGGGCGGCUCUAGUGGGGUAGGUGUGAGCCGGCACGGUGGGGAGCUGCUUAACCGCUCAGGUGGCAGCAUAGACAAUGUCUUGUCCCAAAUCGCUGCCCAGAGGAAAAAAGCAGCCGGAUUAUCGGAGCAGAAACCCAGCCAUCGGUCAAGCCCUGUGGGGCCAGCACCGGGGUCCAGCCCGUCUGAGCUUCCAGCCUCCCCUGCAGGUGGCAGCGCUCCUGUUGGCAAGCAGAAAUUGGAGACCAGCAAAAGGCCUCCAUCUGGAACUUCCACUACCUCCAAGAGCACCUCUCCAACCCUCACGCCCUCCCCCUCACCCAAAGGGCACACUGCAGAGUCCUCAGUGUCUUCCUCGUCAUCCCAUCGGCAGUCCAAGAGCAGUGGGGGCUCCAGCAGUGGCACCAUCACAGAUGAGGAUGAACUGACUGGAAUCCUUAAGAAAUUAUCACUUGAGAAAUAUCAGCCCAUUUUUGAGGAACAAGAGUCUGUCUCUGUCUCGUGCGUGGUGAGGGAGAUGAGGUGGACAUGGAAGCGUUCCUCACGCUGACUGACGGUGACUUGAAGGAGCUGGGAAUUAAGACAGAUGGGUCCAGGCAGCAGAUUCUGGCAGCGAUUUCUGAACUGAACGCAGGCAAGGGACGCGAGAGACAAAUUUUACAGGAAACCAUUCACAACUUUCACUCUUCCUUUGAGAGCAGUGCCAGCAACACCAGGGCCCCUGGCAACAGCCCCUGUGCGUGAUCCUCCUUCCCGCAGCCACCAGCGUGAGCUCUCUGAAUCCCGGGACCCCUUCACAUGGCCACAGCCCCAGCCCUGCCCCCGUCACACUGCUGUGCCUUAGUCAUGUUGUUCCCUUUUCUCGGGAUGCCCACUUCACGUCGACUGCAUUCAUUGGUAGUACUUCUUGCUGCAACAAACUUCAACACACAGAGACAGAUUCCCAUGUAACAGUCCAGUGGGGGUGCUUCUGCUUGGCAGGUUGGUUCACACAGUGAUGCAGGGACUCAGCUCCUUUCAUCCUGUGCUCUGCCCUCCCUGGGAGCCUCAGAGUUUGCUUCUGGCUGGCGGCAAGGGAAAGGGACGAUGGAGAAGGCACGGCUGCUUCUUACCUGCCUUGCUCUUAACUGACACACAUCACUCCUGCUCACGUCCUCUUGGCCACUGGUAGUCAUGUGGCCCCACCUGGAUGCAGAGGAGGCCAGGAUGUGCAGUCUCCACAUAGUGGCUUCCCAGCAACAACUUUUGACUUAGAUGGGGGCCAUGGUUGGGUGGGUGAGGCCAGAAGAAACUGCCUCCGGCAAGAGGUAGCAGCCGCUCAGGUGGCUCUGCUGGCAUCGGAGCCCACAGAAGUGAGGAGUGGCCGAUGGACCUGCCCUCCAAAUGUGCCUGACUCUGGGUCUUGCUGUCACUGGAUUUCCUGGCAUGGCAGACAGAAAGAAAGAUAGUUUGACCAAGUCGUAGAAGCUGAUCCAGCGGGUAAAAAGGGGGCAGGGAACUCGUCUCUGUUAUGCUUGCCUCAGAGCUGCCUGAAGACAUGGGCCAGGCCGGAGGCUGGACAACUUUGGAUAGAUACGCUGACCUGUACUUCCAAGUAAAUGCCUCCUGAAGAGCCCGGGACCCUUCCUGGAAGAAUUCUGCAGCCAGAAUGAAGGUGCCAUCAGCAGGAGGCACUGUGAAGCACCAUCCUGUCGCUGUCCUUGUCCAUUCCUAGCAAGUUAAUCGUGUCUUGUUAACCAGCAGUUCCUGUUCAACGUGUAAAGAGACCUGAUGUUUUCCCUAAUAAAGCUGAUAACAGAUUUUGCA